rnacentral:lncRNA from 10 species
GACGGGUGGGGGAGAUGCGCGUGCGGAGUAGCGGGAAGCGACUGAGGAGCGGGGAAUGGGCAGCAUUUGAAUGGAUGCGGGUGCCGCUGGCACCCGGGAAGACGCUGGGGGCCGGCGCUGUAGAGCCGGGCAUGGGCUGGGAUGUGUUUGGAUUCCAAUCCGGGCCUGACACCAGUUCAGUGACCUCGGGAAGUUCCCCAACCCUCCGGGCCUGUUUCCUCCCUCUGAAGUGGCGACAGUAGUAGAACCGACCUCGUAGGCUCAUCGGGAGGUCCUGAUGGGAGAACCCAUGCAACUUGCCACCAUAGAGCCAGGCCCGCGGCGGUUGGCGCCUGGUGGGUAUUAAAGACGAGUCGGGAAAGAAGAGCAGCAACCCUGGGAGGUAGGCCUUAUGGUUUCUGUUUUGCAAAUGAAGAACCUGAGAUUGAAGAAGAGUAGAGAUUGGAGGAUCAGAUCCUGAGAGGUCCCAUGUGCUUUCCAAUAACAGUUCAGUAUAUUAGAAGACAGUGUGGCAUCCACGGCCAAGUACUACUAGUGAGUAAUACAGUAAUUGCUUUUUACAUUUGAUAAACACGGAGAAAGGGAAGGCAUUUCGGGUCAUUGGGGCAGCUAGGACUUAUAAGAGCAGUGCUAGGGUGGCAGCAGCAUUCAGGUAGAUGGUAAGGAGAAUUAAGUUAGAGAGACAGGAUCCUCAGUCUGGUUCAGAAGUAAAUAUAUAAGGGCCUGUUCUAUGGAAUGUAGUGAGAAGUGGUUAAAUAAGAUGAAUCCCAGGAAACCUCAAAAGAAGGCUUAUAGAGCCCCAUAGGGUGGUAGAUUCACACUAUAGACCUGAGAGCCAGAUCUGUUCAGUUCCAAAUUUGAUUCUUGCACUUACCAGCUCUGUGUCCUCAGGCAAGUCAUUUUACCUUUCCAAGCCUCACUCCCAACUCUGUAAAACAAGGAUAAUACCUACCUCAGGGUUAUUAUGAUAAUAAAACUAGUAUUUAUUUCAGGCCGGCGUGGUGGCUCAACCCUGUAAUCCCAGCACUUUGGGAGGCCGAGGUGGGUGGAUCACUUGAGGCCAGGAUUUUGAGACUAGCCUGGCCAACAUGGUGAAACCCUGCCGAUACUAAAAAUACAAAAAUUAGCCAUGCGUAAUGCAUAGUACCAGCUACUCAGGAAGUUGAGACAGGAGAAUUGUUUGAACCC